UACGGGGGGGGGCAAGCGUUUGUUCGGAAUUACUGGGCGUAAAGGGCUCGUAGGCGGCCAACUAAGUCAGACGUGAAAUCCCUCGGCUUAACCGGGGAACUGCGUCUGAUACUGGAUGGCUAGAGUGUGGGAGAGGGAUGCGGAAUUCCAGGUGUAGCGGUGAAAUGCGUAGAUAUCUGGAGGAACACCGGUGGCGAAGGCGGCAUCCUGGACCACGACUGACGCUGAGUGAGCGAAAGCCAGGGGAGCAAACGGGG
rnacentral:rRNA from 1 species